GAGGCUUAUACGGUUAGAGAUCUAGAAUGUCGGAGUUUGAACCAGAAGAGGCAUCAGAGAUCAUCUGACAGUCCGACUGCUCAUAUUACAGAGGAGGAAUGUGAGUCUGAAGAGAUCUGGGAUAGAUGGUACAGAACGAUGAGUUGGUGGAAAAGAAGAAAAGCGGCCUGAAUUGCCUUCAGGAAAUUGCAAAGCUCCUCUAAUGACCCCAAGCUUCCUAGAAAAGCAAAGGCCUAUCUUUUUUAAUACUGACAUUUUACAGCAGCAAAACAUGCAAUCCCACUGCCUCCAAAGGACUGAAAAGAGGAUUAUUAUACAGGGACCUAUGGAUAGAUACAAGGGUUAAUGGAAGAUAUAUGUAAUGAGAUUUCAGGGCAUGCACAAACUUUGUCGUGCAAAAAAAAUACAUCAUUAUUUUCAUUCACCUGCAACUACAUUUUAGCACUUUCUUCAAUUAUUUAAAAAUAUUCUGAAUAUUGUGUCCCAAGAAAUAAUGAAGGGAAUGAUUUCGGAAAAAUCUGAGAACUUUAUAAACCAAUACGGACAGAGAUGAGAACCAAGAGAACAAUUCUACAAUAACAAUAUUGUAAAGACAAACAACUUUGGAAAACUUGAGAGUUCUGAUCAAUGCAAUGACCAGCCAUAAUUUACAAAGGUCAAGAAUGAAACAUGUUACUCCCCUCUUAAUGGGGAGGCAAUGGGUUUAGGAAUCUGGUUGGAGAAAGAAAUUUGUUUUGCUUGACUAUGUCUAUUUCAUUAAAAAAAAUUUAUUUGAGUGUUCUUUCACGGUUACAU